rnacentral:rRNA from 1 species
ACCAGACGAUGCGGGAUCGAAGAUGAUUAGAUACCAUCGUAGUCUUAACCAUAAACUAUGCCGACUGAGGAUUCUUGAAAUUUGUAAAUGAAUUUAAGAGCACUCCAUGAGAAAUCAAAGUCUUUGGGUUCCGGGGGGAGUAUGGUCGCAAGUCUGAAACUUAAAGGAAUUGACGGACGGGCACCACCAGGAGUGGAGCCUGCGGCAUAAUUUGACUCAACACGGGAAAACUUACCAGGUCCAGACAUAGUGAGGAUUGACAGAUUUAUAGCUCUUUGUUGAUUCUAUGGGUGGUGGUGCAUGGCCUUUCUUAGUUGGUGGUAUGAACUGUCUGCUUAAUUGCGUUAACGGACGAGACCUCAGCCUACUAAAUAGUACGUGUUAUGGUAACAUAGUAUGAGACUUCUUAGAGGGACAUUUCGGGUUUACCGGAAGGAAGUUCGUG